UACGGAGGGUGCAAGCGUUAAUCGGAAUUACUGGGCGUAAAGCGUGCGCAGGCGGUUUGUUAAGUCUGAUGUGAAAUCUCUGGGCUCAACCCAGAGUCUGCAUUAGAAACUGUCGGGCUUGAGUAUGGGAGAGGUGAGUGGAAUUUCCGGUGUAGCGGUGAAAUGCGUAGAUAUCGGAAGGAACACCUGUGGCGAAAGCGGCUCACUGGACCAUAACUGACGCUGAGGCGCGAAAGCUAGGGGAGCAAACAGG
rnacentral:rRNA from 1 species